rnacentral:rRNA from 1 species
AUUGAACGCUGGCGGCAGGCCUAACACAUGCAAGUCGAGCGGAUGAAGGGAGCUUGCUCCUGGAUUCAGCGGCGGACGGGUGAGUAAUGCCUAGGAAUCUGCCUGGUAGUGGGGGAUAACGUCCGGAAACGGGCGCUAAUACCGCAUACGUCCUGAGGGAGAAAGUGGGGGAUCUUCGGACCUCACGCUAUCAGAUGAGCCUAGGUCGGAUUAGCUAGUUGGUGGGGUAAAGGCCUACCAAGGCGACGAUCCGUAACUGGCCUGAGAGGAUGAUCAGUCACGGGGGGACUGAGAGAGGGCCCAGACUGCUAUGGGAGGCAGGAGUGGGGAAUCUUGCACAAUGGGCGGAAGCUUGAUGCAGCAGCGCCGCGUGCGGUAUGACUGUCUUCGGGUUGGAAACCGCUUUCGCCUGUGACGAAGCGUGAGUGACGGUAAUGGGUAAAGAAGCACCGGCUAAAUACGUG